UUUUCUGAGUCAGAAGAAAUCAACGGUUGAUAUUCAACUAAGACCACUUGACAUAUAGUUGCUUCGUUGAGUGCUCUCCUGAUAGCACAUGCAGUUCUUUCAAUUUUUGGAUCAGAUGGUGUCAACGUCGAUCCCGAGUUGCGCACACAUAAACAGGAAAUACCUAAAUAACACUAUGAUUUAGAAGAAAUUAAAAUAAAAA
rnacentral:lncRNA from 1 species